GACGAUCUGUCGAGCGUGCCGGUGUGAUUUGUCCGUGGGAGAAGCAGUCUAGAAAGUCAACAUUUACCCAACUGUGAGCAAGAGUCAGCUUCGGGAAUGUAAGCGCUCAGCAGAUACAACAACGAGCCAUAUUCAAGUUGUAGCACAAAGUUCGUACAGUUGUGAUUAUUCCCGAACACCUAUGCGGUAGGAAAUGCUUGACAGGCAAAUGGCUUUGCGGCAACUGCCAUAUAGCUUCUUAUUGCAUGAUGGAACAAGGAUUCACCAUCGUCAUCAAGUAUGUUACACAUGGCAGAACACUGCUGAAAGAAUGUAGGGAUAUGACGAACAGGACUUCGGAAAAUGUCUACCCCAAGGGUGAUGAUUACAUUUGUCUUCUCACCAUUAAUCAGCUGUAGGAUAAAACUUGAUGAUUUCCCGGGUAAAACUGUGUUGCUAAUGUAAUGUUACGGAUGCUUCCUAAUCUGUCUAGCAGUCAUUUUCAAGGAUGAUCAAAUCAGGAGGUUUAGAAGAACUUAUAGAACAGCCAGCCAAUGACACACAAUUUAACUGUUUGAUAACUUUUUGGAAGGACAUUAUAUGAUGGAGGAUCAGCCAUUCAAAGUGGCAUUUUAUGAUUGGGCUGAAUCACAUUUCUGUUAUUCUGUGGCUGAUAGAUGGACCGGGUAUCUUUAGAUUUUUAUAGUUUUGAGUUUAUUCAAGAGUCUGCAAGCUCUUUGCUGACUUCCUCAUUCAGAUAUCGCCUGUCGACGAUUUCACAGCCUCACGCAAUUAAAGAACGUAUGACAAAAAGCAAAAAUGAUGUAUUCGGAGCAGAAAAAUGAAGGUGUAUCCAUUUAAUUGAAAUAGGCACACGACAACGCUCAAUCGACGUCCUUGUCUCAGUAGAGAAUUUUUUCCGUUGAACAUAUGGCCGAAAUAAUAUUGCAGUUGUUCAAGAAAGAAAAUUGUAUUGUCAGACAGCAUUAAUGUUUAAUAGCUUGAAAUCCAGAGAUGUGUGAAGUUGCGAAAUUUCUAGAUGUGAAGUGCAAUCAAGCUUCUUGUUGAAUUGUGA